ACUCUGGGUGAGUGAUACCUAAGCGUCUACCCAAAGUAAUGAUUCAGUUUCUGCUAGCUAACAAACAACGGAAGAACCGUUUUACCUUUCGAUUUGAGGUGAGGCACCGAGGGAAAGCUUCGAGGAGAAAACCCACCGAGAGACAGAUUCGAGGAGAACCAACAAACUACAAAGAAAAACAACCGAUCAGACCAAAAAGAUGCAUAAUCUAAGACAUGCAUAAUAAAGAACACAACAAUCGCUUAUCUUUCGAUUUCAGAAGGGCAACCGAGAGAGAGCUCCGUCGCCUCGAGGAGAACUACCGAGAGAGACGUCACCGACGCGAGCCACCGAUGGAGAUGUCGCUGACGCGAGCAACUGAAGGAGACGUCGAAAUCACCUUUCGCCGAAAAAUCACU
rnacentral:lncRNA from 1 species